rnacentral:rRNA from 1 species
UACGGAGAGUGCAAACGUUGUUCGGAUUCACUGGGCGUAAAGGGCACGUAGGCGGCUCGGCAAAUCGGUCGUGGAAUCUCGACGCUUACCGUCGAAACGGCGGCCGAAAAUACCGGGCUCGAGGGCGUGAGGGGUCACUGGAACUCCUGGUGAAGCGGUGAAAUGCGUAGAUAUCAGGAGGAACGCCGGAGGCGAAAGCGACACCCUGGCAUUAGCCUGACGCUCAUGUGCGAAGGCGUGGGGAGCGAACGGG